rnacentral:rRNA from 1 species
GAAUCUUAGACAAUGGGCGCAAGCCUGAUCUAGCCAUGCCGCGUGAGUGACGAAGGCCCUAGGGUCGUAAAGCUCUUUCACCAGGGAUGAUAAUGACAGUACCUGGAGAAGAAACCCCGGCUAACUCCGUGCCCGCAGCCGCGGUAAUACGGAGGGGGUUAGCGGUGUUCGGAAUUACUGGGCGUAAAGCGCGCGUAGGCGGGCUGUUAAGUCGGGGGUGAAAUCCCGGGGCUCAACCCCGGAACUGCCCUCGAUACUGGCAGCCUAGAGUUCGAGAGAGGUGAGUGGAAUUCCGAGUGUAGAGGUGAAAUUCGUAGAUAUUCGGAGGAACACCAGUGGCGAAGGCGGCUCACUGGCUCGAUACUGACGCUGAGGUGCGAAAGCGUGGGGAGCAAACAGG